GCCCGGGUGGUCUAGUGGUAUGAUUCUCGCUUAGGGAUCCAAACCCAAGCAUAUCUGCGAGAGGUCCCGCGUUCGAUCCGCGGCUCGGGCC